GAAGGCUUGGCUCAAUGGUAGAGCGUCCGCCUCCUAUCGUGGAGCAUCGCAAGCGGAAGGUUGUGGGUUCGAGUCCCAUGGUGGUCG